rnacentral:lncRNA from 1 species
AUGACACACAGAAUAGCUUGGCUAAAUUCAGUACUGGAGUUAAUAGUUCCCAAUAUUUUUACUAAAUAUCCUCCCUUUGUAACCUGUAUCUUCACAAACAGGAACUGCAGAAAAACACUCAGGAAAAAGACCAUAGGGAAGUUCAAGUAUCUCUCCAGAAAAAUGGCAAAGGUGAUGGUUGGACCAGCCUAACCAUCAAAGAAUAAUAAUUCUGCAACCUGCUGACUGAUUGAGAAGGUCUUUAGGGUUUAUGUUCAAAUGCUACUUACAUCCAGUGAUGGGAAAGGUGUGUAUACCAUGAGACUAUCUGUGGAGGAACUCUCCUAAUGCUUUUUCUAAUCCCAGUUUGAAACUAAGCAGAGCACAUGUCAGAUUUGUCAUGCUGUGAUCUUGAACUGCUCUAUCAGACCAUACUGCAAUGAUCUACAGGUGCACACCACAGCAGCUUCAUGUGUCUUGAAGAGAGAUGAAAGACAACCUCACCUUUAAGACUGAAAAAUUCAGACUGCACUUAAGUUUGUGUUCACUGGGCAAAUGAAGACCACCCGCCCACAUAACAAGACUAGUACGGCCUUAUUUUGGGAAGUAAGAGUAUUUCAGAGGAGGACUGGCCAAAGUCCCAUGUGUCUAGGGGCACUGGCACCAGAUAUCAGUUGUCAGUCAUUGCUGGUAGCGAGAUUUAAUAGACAAUUUUAAGAUCUUCAGAUAAUAUGCACUGCAGCUUAAUUUUCUCCUCUCCCAGUUCCCCAAGAUUUGACCCUGCAUGUAUGACCACAAAUCUUGCUUUGAAAGAAGCAUCAAGUUGGCUGAGACAGAGAGAAUAGGUUUUUUUCCACUGCUUCCACACAUAGGCUUAAUAAGCUGAACUUCAGGCUCCAGAAACCUUUGCAUGAACAAGCUACGACAAAAGCUCUUCUUCCUCAAAGAGGCCAGAAUCAGUCAAGUCAUAAGCCAUUUGAACAGUUUUAGAUGCAAGUGCAAAAACAGGGCAAAGGAGCAAGACAGUGACCCAUAUUACUUCUUGAGAGUUUCAAGAAGUGCACAGCACUGGCACUUCUGAAUUAUGAGGGCUUGGAUUGUGGGACAGGAAGAAGUAUUCCUCAGAAAGACCUUCUAACUUGAAAGAAAAAUCUGUUUCAUUAGACAAAGUUACAGCUCCUGCUGCUUUGAGAACUGCCCAGUUGCUCACCUCAUUUUAGGAGACUGAGACACCUAAAUUUAUACUGUAUCUAUUUGAUGUGUACAAGUGUUGUUUACACUCCACUUUGCUGAAGCGAGAAGAUAUUUAAGUCAUAACCAAUGAAUAUUGCAUGAACACUACUUAAGCAAAAAACUGAAAUGUCUUUUAUGACAUAUUUUGGUGAUGCAGUAUGAACAAGAGGAUAACACAGAGACAAGAUAUCCAUCAGCUAAGAAUAUCCUUGCUAACUGAUGCCCUAAAAUAGUUCUUAAGGAACAGCCACAAGCAUGGUCAAGUCUUGCUGUAGCUUUACUUGGUUUCAUUUUUCUUUGAAGGAAAAAGGAAACCUGGAUUUACUAACAAGGGGAAUGUGCAGAUAUCCACAGUUCAUUGUAACAGGCCAAGGUGUCUGGCCUAAGGCAAAUGAAAGAAACUUCCUGAUAUGACAAUGCACCUUUGCUACAAUAGUUAAUUAUUGCUUUAUUAAACCAAAAAUCCACCUCUCCACCCUACUGAAGUUCAGGGACAGGGCAGUCCAGAAGGCUUGUUCCCCUGUAUUAUCAGACUGAAGUCCUGCUGCUUGUUUCACCCUUAAGUUAUAAAUUAAAGUGCCUGGAACACAGACCAAGGCUGAAGCAAUAAAGUGCUGAUGUGGGAAUUGUGACA